rnacentral:rRNA from 1 species
AACCUCCGCAAUGUACGAAAGUGCGACGGGGGGAUCCCAAGUGUUAUGCUUAAAGGUAUGACUUUUCAUUAGUGUAAAAAGCUUUUAGAAUAAGAGCUGGGCAAGACCGGUGCCAGCCGCCGCGGUAACACCGGCAGCUCGAGUGGUAGCUGUUUUUAUUGGGCCUAAAGCGUUCGUAGCCGGUUUAAUAAGUCUUUGGUGAAAGCUUGUAGCUUAACUAUAAGAAUUGCUGGAGAUACUAUUGGACUUGAAGUCGGGAGAGGUUAGAGGUACUACCGGGGUAGGGGUGAAAUCCUAUAAUCCUGGGAGGACCACCUGUGGCGAAGGCGUCUAACUGGAACGAUCUUGACGGUGAGUAACGAAAGCCAGGGGCGCGAACCGGAUUAGAUACCCGGGUAGUCCUGGCCGUAAACGAUGUGGACUUGGUGUUGGAAUGGCUUUGAGUUGUUCGGUGCGAGGGAGCUGUAAGUCACCGCUGGAAGUACGGUCGCAAGAUUGAAACUUAAAGGAAUU